ACUUACAAUUAUGCCUGUUCAGUAUUACUGAAGUUCUAAACGAAUUUGAUUUGACUACUAACAAAACUAAUCCUUGUCCUGAUAUAAUAUCUAGUAUUUUCUUCACUAAUUGCAAAUUUGUUUUAGCCUCUUCUUUAAUGUAUUUUUCUUAAUUUAUCCCUUCUCACAGGUUGUUUUCCUUGUGAUUUGAAAAUCAGUUUUAUAACUUUGUAACACCUAUCAAAAAAAGGAUUCAUAAAUCCGAGAUUAUAAAUUAUUGACUUAUUUCCUAGAUCUCUAUAAUAUCUAAGAUAUUUGAAUCAAUUGUUUAUAAAAAAAUGUAUGCUAUACUUUCCCCAAUAGUUAAUAAUGAUCAACACGGAUUUUUAAGGGCUAAAUCUACAACUACUAAUCUAGUGAUAUUUCAGAAAUUUAUGUCGGACGCUUUUGAUUUAGAGUAUCAAGUAGAUGAUAUCUAUACUGAUUUUUCAAAGGAUUUCGAUAAAAUUAAUCACAUCUCCUCUCUAAAAGCCUUUAUUCUAUUGGUUUCCGUGAUCGUUUUUAUCUUAGUCGAUUUCUUAUAUCGAAAUAAAAAGCAAAUAGUCAGAGUAAAAAAUUUUCUAAACUCUCUUAAACUUCUAUUCGCUGAUGAUAUGAAAUUAUUUCAGUUAGUAAAAUCCUUCUCUGAUUCUGUUUUCUUGUACGAUGGCUAAAAU